rnacentral:rRNA from 1 species
UAGGGAAUAUUGGACAAUGGGCGAAAGCCUGAUCCAGCCAUGCCGCGUGGAUGAAGAAGGCCCUAGGGUUGUAAAAUCCUUUCGCUAGGGAAGAUAAUGACGGUACCUAGUAAAGAAGCCCCGGCUAAUUUCGUGCCAGCAGCCGCGGUAAUACGAAAGGGGCUAGCGUUGUUCGGAAUUACUGGGCGUAAAGCGCACGUAGGCGGCCAUGUAAGUUGGGGGUGAAAUCCCGGGGCUCAACCCCGGAACUGCCUCCAAAACUACAUGGCUCGAGGACGCGAGAGGAUAGUGGAAUUCCGAGUGUAGAGGUGAAAUUCGUAGAUAUUCGGAAGAACACCAGUGGCGAAGGCGACUGUCUGGCGCGUUACUGACGCUGAGGUGCGAAAGCGUGGGGAGCAAACAGGAUUAGAUACCCCCGUAGUCC